UUUUUAACUACUUUCCCAGUUGGUUCUCUUCUGCUUCUCUCCUCUCCUCUCCUCUCCUCUCCUGCUUCAUCAAACAAAAAGGAAGGAAAGAGAGAGAAAAAGUGGAAUUUGUAGUCAUCUUUCUUUCUUUGUUCUUGGGUUUCUGGUUCUGUAGGAGGGUGUGGUUGUUGUUCUUGUUGCUUUCUUUUUCUUACCUCUCUGUGGAGACAUUCCUUGCUGUCAAUGGCUCAAUUAUCGACUUGAUUGGACUCUAUUCUAAUUCCUCUGUCUCUUUGUCCCUGCUUUUCGCUUUGGGUUUUCUUUCUUUUGAUGUUGUGGUUGAUGGGUUUGCGACUUUGCUCCAGUGACUGACGACUGAGAAAAGAGUGAUUGGGUUCUUCUCUUCCGAGUUGAAAGCUUUUUCGGUUUUUGUGUUUUGAUUGUGUGAAGUUCAUCACUGAAAAAUGACAGUCGAGGAAAGGCCUUUGAGUGCUGGGAACGAUGAACCCAAAGAUCGUUUCCCUGUGGGUAUGCGUGUUCUUGCGGUCGACGACGAUCCCACAUGCUUGAGGUUGCUGGAUACUCUGCUUCGUCGAUGCCAGUAUCAUGUUACGACGACUAACCAAGCAGUCAUGGCGCUGAAGUUGUUGAGAGAGAAUAAAAACAAGUUCGACCUGGUUAUCAGUGAUGUUCAUAUGCCUGACAUGGACGGUUUCAAGCUUCUCGAGCUUGUCGGUCUUGAGAUGGACUUACCUGUCAUAAUGUUAUCGGCAAAUAGUGACACCAAAGUCGUGAUGAAGGGGAUUGCCCAUGGUGCAGUUGACUAUUUGCUAAAACCUGUUCGAAUUGAGGAGCUCAAGAAUAUAUGGCAACAUGUAAUGAGGAGAAGGAAGUUUGAUUCUAAAGACCAAAAUAAUUCCAACAAUCUAGAGAAGACUCAGGGAUCCGACCAAGGUGGACCUGCGAGCCCAACAGGAGGAAAUGCAGACAAGAAUGCUAAACAAAACAGGAAAAGGAAGGACCAAGAUGAAGAUGAGGACGAGGACUAUGAGGAGAGUGGACAUGAGAAUGAUGACCCAGACACGUCAACUCAGAAGAAGCCUCGAGUUGUGUGGUCUGUUGAACUGCACCGCAAGUUUGUAGCAGCAGUUAAUCAAUUGGGAAUUGACAAGGCUGUACCUAAGAGGAUUCUAGACCUGAUGAAUGUAGAAAGGCUUACUAGAGAGAAUGUGGCGAGCCACCUUCAGAAAUACAGACUUUACCUAAAAAGGAUUAGUUGUGUGGCAAGUCAGCAAGCUAAUAUGGUUGCUGCUUUAGGUGGAAAAGAUCCCUCCUAUCUGCGAAUGGGUUCACUGGAUGGCUUUGGCGAUUUUCAUGCCUUAAAUGGAUCAGGACAGCUUCCAAAUGCUACUCUUACAUCUCUCCCACCUGCUGGAAUGCUUGGUCGGUUGAAUACCCCUGCUGGUUUGGGCAUUCGUGGCCUUGCUUCAUCUGGAAUGAUUCAACUUGGCCGAGCCCAAAACUCUAGCAACCCCAAUAAUGAUCUGGGGAAGCUCCGGCCUGCUGUCUUAUCUGGAAAUCGAAAUGGAAAUUUACUGCAAGGGAUGCCAACAUCGUUGGAACUUGAUCAACUACAACAGAACAAGUGCAUUUCCCGAAUUGGAGAGUUCUCUGGCUGCAAUGAACAAAAUGUUUUUCAAGUAGCCAGUGGCUUCUCCGAAACGGCAGUGACUAUUGGUAGUUCAAGCAACUCUUUUCUUGCUGCCCCAAACAAUCCAUUGAUGUUACAAGGACACCCACAACAAGCACAAAAUAGAGGAUUUGGAAAUCAAUCUUCUGUUAGUGUGGAUCCACGGAAUUCAGAACCUUUUGACAUUGGCGGUGGUGUAUCUUCUCAUGUGCCUGAUCAGAAUAGAUGUAAUGAUAACUGGCAAAGUGCUGUGACAAUAACCGGAUUUUCAUCAAAUUCUUUGCCAUCGAGCACCCCUUUUAAUCAUACUGAUUUGCCUCCUUGUAACUUGAUGGACACUAUUUCUCCAAUGGGCUCACACAUUGGGAACAACCCACUUGAUAUUUCUUCCACAAGCGUAGUACCAGCACCACUUCAGGAUUCAAGAAGAGAUAUGCAAUGCCAAGCAAGCAUCAUGCUUGGUAACAAUGUUCAGCAUGAUAGUCCAAAAUAUUCGAACUUUGGAGGCUUGGGCAAUAAUUUAGACCAGAGUUUGAAUGUUCCAAGGCAAAGAUGGGAAGACCAUAAACAGGAUUACUCCCACAACUCAAAUCUUCUCUUUAGUUCUAUCAACUCUUCUCUGCCUACCCAUGGUGUUGUAAGUCAAUUAACCCAGAGUUUGGGCCACAACAAUGCAGUCUGCAACCAAAAUGUGGAUACAACUCUGCUUGCCCAAUCAAAUGCUGGUGCAUAUUUGAUGCAGCAUAACAUGGUUGAAAAAUCAAAUAAUGACACAUCAUUAAGGUUGAAGGAAGAGUACUCAAUGGAGCAAACUAAGUCACACGGUGGGUUUUCUGAUAGUUGCGGCUCUUUAGAAGACCUGAUGGCUGCAAUGAUUAAACAGGUAGGGAGGGAAGUAGGUAACAGCCCGGAGACUUGAACUCGAGACCUCCUGAUAACAGCUAUAUAUUAAUUACUUUGCUCCUGAAUUAUUUAUGGACAGUGAAUAUGAUUUGAAGGUUGUCUCCGAUGCAGGAACUGUCAAAUGGCUGCCACCUCCUUACAGAACAACAGGAAACGAAGUUUAUGGAUGGAGGAGACAUUGGAUGUGAAGUUUACCCUCUUAGAACUUGUAUGUGAAACUUGGAGAACUGCUCCUUUUAGCAAGAAGGGAUCGCAACAAUAUAGAUGCGUUCCUUGGGGAGUUUGUAUCAUCAUGUAGUGUUCUCUAUUAUGUAUUUCUGUAUGUUGAUAAAUUUUAUUCCUUUAGUUCCAAAUGGGAUUUACUUUCCUGUUCCUCUAUCCUGUCCAUGCCCCCUGUUCUCUUUUCUGACAUGAACAUUGGCAUGUGAAUCCCCUCAACCAUCCAAGGUUCGAUGAUUCCAUUCAUCAUAAACCAUGUACAAAGUUAAUGUCUAUAAAGUGGCUAAUGCUUCCAACUAA